UGGGGCCGAUGCUGUUGCCUGUGUAAUGUGAUUCCUCCUCCUUAAAAUAAGGAUAAGUUAAUGAGAUGUCCACCAGAGGGCCUGGCGUGGACACAGCACAUGGCCACAGAGGCUGGUGGGCGCUAUGGAAUCUUGUCCCCUGGAGAGGCACACAGCCAGGGCAGAACAUCAAGGUCAAGGCUCUCCUGAAGGCUCUGCAGUGCUUAGUGACACCACCAUCAAUGACCGUCAGGUAUCAGACCUCAGUGGAAACUCACAUCCUCAGGGAGGCCUUCUCAGAGUCCUCAUCCCCUCUCCUGGGUCCACAGCCAAACAAGCCACCACCACCAGUCAGCAGGGAGCUGGGAGGCGGGAAGUCUUGCUGAGGAUGACAGAGGAGGAUUUAUUCCUAAUAGCAGGGCUUGGAGAAGUAAUCAGGAGAUCCUUGGAGCAGCACGAAGGCAGAAAAAACCAAGGCACAAUUUAUGCAUUCGUUCAAUCAUUUAUUCAUUGCACAUUUAUUGAGCACCUACUAUGUUCAGGGCUCUUGCUAGGUCCUGGAGCCACAGCCAGGAAUAAGAUGCCACCUUCGCUCCUGAAGAACUCCUGGUGGGGUGAGGAGACAGACACACGGGCAGUGACAAAGCAGAUGGGUAAACAAGGGCUGACGUGAUGGAGCCCACAGAGAGAUGGAAUGUUCAAACCAGAAUGGGCCCCUGGAGAGACUCUGUCAUCCCUAAAGCUGAGCUUCAGGAAGUCCAGGACUGUCCCCAACUGUGGUCCCGAAGGGAUACAGCAAAGCCAAAUUCUUGGUGGACAGAUGUCUCUGUGGGGGCCCCUGCAGUGGCACCCACCAUCUGCCCGGGCUCUGCCCUCCUCUGGCAAUGAUGUGCACACCGCAAGGCGCCCUCCACGCAAAGCCAGCUGCUGCCUGUUCCGGGACGUCAUGGCUUUCAUUCAAACCUACCAAUGGCUCUGCAGGCGUCAACAAAGCAAGAAGCAAGAAUGAGGUCUGCAGCUUUGCAUGGGGUCUGGCCAGGGCUCAUUGGAUUUUUUGUCUAGAGCCCUGGAAGAGGGGCACCCUGCUGGGGGGCAAGCUUUAUCCCCCCCAAUAACACAGCAUGACUUUUGGAGGACUGGGAAACACUUUAGUCACCAGGCAACUGCGUCUUUUCUCCCAGAGGACCUCCUCCUGGAGGAGCUGAUUAAAAGUGGUGACCGCAAUUCAUAUAGCUGGUCCCUGUCAAGCCGCAAAGAGCAGCUGAGCCCAGAGAUGGCCAGGAUGGUCUUCAUUUGGCUCUCCCACCUUCCUGUCAUGGAGGGCU
rnacentral:lncRNA from 1 species